GACGAACGCUGGCGGCGUGCCUAACACAUGCAAGUCGAACGGAAAGACCCUGAGCUUGUUCGUCUCUCGAGUGGCGAGCGGGGGAGUAUCACGCGUGUAUCCUCUCCCUAUCUUUCGGAUAACACCAGGGAACUGGGGCGAAUAUCGCGUAGGAGCUCCUGCAGCACGGGGGUGGAUGGAAAGAGUCGGCGGUUGGGGAUGGACUCGCGGCUUAUCCGCUUGUUGGUGGGGUAGUGGAUUACCAAGCCUUCGACGGGUAGCCGGCCUGAGAGGGUGAACGGGCACAUUGGGACUGCGGUAGGGAGCAGACGGGAACGGGAGGCAGCAGGGGAAAAUAUUGCAGAGUGAGCGGGAGCGUGUGAUAGCAGCGUCGCGUGCGUGAUGACCGGCUUCGAGGUGUAAACAGCUGUCGCCUGUGACGAAGCGUGAGUGACGGUAACGGGUAAAAAAGCACCGGCUAACUACGUG
rnacentral:rRNA from 1 species